GGGGAGGGGAUUAAGGAGCUUGUAGAGGAAGGAGGGUACACAGCUCUCUCAAUUUCCAUUGACUUUUGGCGUCUUUAUAAGUGCCCUGGCAGACAGGUGGCUCCAUCAACACUCCCACCUUCUCCUCAAGAAACCUCAGCAAUAUUUCUUUAGCAAAAUGAAGUUCCCAGUUCUUCUCCUCCUGACUACUCUGGCUGGAGUUCUCAUGGGUGUCGCUGGACAGGCUUCUACUUCACUAGCCCCAGAGACCACAGCCUCAGCAGAGACCACAGCCUCAGCAGAGACCACAGCCUCAGCAGAGACCACAGCCUCAGCAGAGACCACAGCCUCAGCAGAGACCACAGCCUCAGCAGAGACAACAGGCUCAGCAGAGACAACGGCCCCACAGACAACUGCCUCACAGACCACAACUUCACCUUCCCAACAGUCAACAACAUCUACCACUAGACGUGAGUAUCUGUCUCUGUCCCAAGCCAGUAUCCCUUGUUCAUUUGCUCUGGGUAUGGGCCUAGCCCUGUACAAACAGUCACACAUGGUCUCUGGGGUUGGGGUAGGAGAGCAGUACAUUCGAUUACUUCUUUGGGGCUUAUGUCUGGGGCAUGUGUUGGGAGAAAGAGGCAACAUAUUACUCCUCUUGGAAUCAGG
rnacentral:lncRNA from 1 species